rnacentral:misc_RNA from 1 species
GAUGAAGAACGUAGCGAAAUGCGAUAAGUAAUGUGAAUUGCAGAAUUCAGUGAAUCAUCGAAUCUUUGAACGCACAUUGCGCCCGCCAGUAUUCUGGCGGGCAUGCCUGUCCGAGCGUCAUUUCAACCCUCGAACCCCUCCGGGGGGUCGGCGUUGGGGACCUCGGGAGCCCCUAAGACGGGAUCCCGGCCCCGAAAUACAGUGGCGGUCUCGCCGCAGCCUCUCCUGCGCAGUAGUUUGGACAACUCGCACCGGGAGCGCGGCGCGUCCACGUCCGUAAAACACCCAACUUCUGAAAUGUUGACCUCGGAUCAGGUAGGAAUACCCGCUGAACUUAAGCAUAUCAAUAAGCGGAGGA